AACGGUAACAGGAAGCAGCUUGCUGCUUUGCUGACGAGUGGCGGACGGGUGAGUAAUGUCUGGGAAACUGCCUGAUGGAGGGGGAUAACUACUGGAAACGGUGGCUAAUACCGCAUAACGUCGCAAGACCAAAGAGGGGGACCUUCGGGCCUCUUGCCAUCAGAUGUGCCCAGAUGGGAUUAGCUUGUUGGUGAGGUAACGGCUCACCAAGGCGACGAUCCCUAGCUGGUCUGAGAGGAUGACCAGCCACACUGGAACUGAGACACGGUCCAGACUCCUACGGGAGGCAGCAGUGGGGAAUAUUGCACAAUGGGCGCAAGCCUGAUGCAGCCAUGCCGCGUGUAUGAAGAAGGCCUUCGGGUUGUAAAGUACUUUCAGCGGGGAGGAAGGUGUUGUGGUUAAUAACCGCAGCAAUUGACGUUACCCGCAGAAGAAGCACCGGCUAACUCCGUGCCAGCAGCCGCGGUAAUACGGAGGGUGCAAGCGUUAAUCGGAAUUACUGGGCGUAAAGCGCACGCAGGCGGUCUGUCAAGUCGGAUGUGAAAUCCCCGGGCUCAACCUGGGAACUGCAUUCGAAACUGGCAGGCUUGAGUCUUGUAGAGGGGGGUAGAAUUCCAGGUGUAGCGGUGAAAUGCGUAGAGAUCUGGAGGAAUACCGGUGGCGAAGGCGGCCCCCUGGACAAAGACUGACGCUCAGGUGCGAAAGCGUGGGGAGCAAACAGGAUUAGAUACCCUGGUAGUCCACGCCGUAAACGAUGUCUACUUGGAGGUUGUGCCCUUGAGGCGUGGCUUCCGGAGCUAACGCGUUAAGUAGACCGCCUGGGGAGUACGGCCGCAAGGUUAAAACUCAAAUGAAUUGACGGGGGCCCGCACAAGCGGUGGAGCAUGUGGUUUAAUUCGAUGCAACGCGAAGAACCUUACCUGGUCUUGACAUCCACAGAACUUUCCAGAGAUGGACUGGUGCCUUCGGGAACUGUGAGACAGGUGCUGCAUGGCUGUCGUCAGCUCGUGUUGUGAAAUGUUGGGUUAAGUCCCGCAACGAGCGCAACCCUUAUCCUUUGUUGCCAGCGGUUAGGCCGGGAACUCAAAGGAGACUGCCAGUGAUAAACUGGAGGAAGGUGGGGAUGACGUCAAGUCAUCAUGGCCCUUACGACCAGGGCUACACACGUGCUACAAUGGCGCAUACAAAGAGAAGCGACCUCGCGAGAGCAAGCGGACCUCAUAAAGUGCGUCGUAGUCCGGAUUGGAGUCUGCAACUCGACUCCAUGAAGUCGGAAUCGCUAGUAAUCGUGGAUCAGAAUGCCACGGUGAAUACGUUCCCGGGCCUUGUACACACCGCCCGUCACACCAUGGGAGUGGGUUGCAAAAGAAGUAGGUAGCUUAACCUUCGGGAGGGCGCUUACCACUUUGUGAUUCAUGACUGGGGUGAAGUCGUAACAAGGUAACCGUAGGGGAACCUGCGGUUGGAUCACCUCCUUACCUUAAAGAAGC
rnacentral:rRNA from 1 species